UGAAGUUGAUUUAUUGACUCAUUACAUCAGAUGCCUUUAGGACAACAAAUAAUCUGAAACUUGUUUGAUCAUCCGGAUAAAAUUCCCAGAUCAUUAUGUCCACUGACAUUAAACAUCUAGGUCUUUUUCGAUAUUGAUUACUUUGCAGUUUCUACACACAUAAUUAGAUUCACCAUUUUGACAAAUCCCUCCAGUGAGUUUGGUCAAACAACCAGCAUCAUUAUAGAACAUAACCAAGAUGAUGUCAAAGGAUUCUACAGCUCACUGAUCUUCCAAAGGUUCGUUCUGAAGUGUAAUUUUUUGAAGUGUCCAAUUCCAGUCCCAAAGAGAAUUAUGGCCUCCCCACUGAAGCUUCCUGUUUGACCCCGGUGUAUCCCUCUGCCUGCCCCUCACCCAGCACCCUGCAUGUUCUUCUCCCACGUGGAUAGAGCCUGCUAAGGACUGAGAACUGGUCAUCAACUACCAUCUCUCCUAAGCAGAAGACUGUUUCAAUAGAAAACUCAACUGCAAAAAAAGGGAUGAAGAGGUUUGGGAUCAGACAAACCUGGGUAUGAAUCCCAUGUCCCAUCAUUUUCAAGUUGUGUCCGUUCAGAUACACUUCAACUGGAAAAUGGACAUAAUUCAGAAAACGGACAUAAUGCAACCUUUGCCAGAUGAAAUACAUGUCCCUGUGAAAGUACAUUUUGGAAGACUGGCAGCAUUUAUUAGUAUGUAUCAUUUGUAUAAUAAUUUAAUUGAAAAAAAUGUACCCAGUUCUGUCAUUUACCCUGACGUGACAGUUUAACCGUGUUCAAUGGGCUGAAUCCAGGAGACCUUCAGGCCCAGUGCUGCAGAAGGGGUCAAAGCUCUGUUUCCUCUUCUCGAAGGGCACCUCAUUAGGAAGAGGCUUGCUUGGGGCCAUGGGAGGGUGGGGGCUUCCAUACCUGGAAAUGAUUUUCACUGGCAAAUAUCUUCUUAUUAGUUUCUUCUUUAAAAUAACAUUUUAUAUACGACUUGCUCAAGAGGAGAUCAAAUAAAGGGUGUAAACUGUGGCCAGGAUAUGAGUCGAAAGAAGAAAGAUCAGUGACACAGUGAAACUCAUUUUCCAUAGUGAUUUUUUCAGGGCUGAAGAUUUGUGAAAAAAGAUCUCGUCCAUCCUUUUAUUUCCCCUCCGCUCUUUAAAGUCUUCUGCAACCUAGAAAGAAACUACUCAAAAGCUGAAAACAUUUUCUUUAAAUACUUCCCAGGAAUAUAGUAAAAUCUAUGGGAAUGAAUCAAAGUAAGGAGAUAAUUUAAUCUGAACACACAUAAUAAAUAUGUAAGUCUGAUUGGUUGUAUGGAGGAAUACAUUAGCAUCUUUACCUAGAGUGAGUUUAUAGCAAUAAUAACAAGACAUAGUGUUUUACUUUUCAGAUGACUGAUGUGUUCACCAUAUUUGGUCCUCAUGAACAAUCAUACCUGUGAAAAGUAAAAGGGACCAUGCUUUUAAAAAAGAAAAUGCUAUUUUCCCUAAAUCUCAGCCUCACCAUUGGAAGUUGACAAAAUUAUUUUGAUAAUAGCAACUACAUAGGAGAGUCCUAAUUUUGAACAGUUACUUUCUUUUGAGUAAAUGUGAUUUUAAAAACAUAAAAAAAUAUUUUUAAACACAUGUAAAACUUUUAUUAUGGAGAAUACUUAAGGUUAUACUUGUUCAAGAGAAGAGGUUUAGAAAAUGCAAGUUAAUCAUGAAAAUAUAAGCUAAAAUAUUGGCUCAUUACCUAUAAAACUAUUAUUCAAUUACUGGUGUAUUUUCUUCUGCUGUAUUUGUGUGUGUAUGUUUGAAAUUAAAGUGCAUGGUCCCUCUAUUUCCAUAUAACAUCAUUUCUUGGUAUAUUAUUAUGUGUUUAAUAUUCUUUGAAAACAAGAUUUUUGAUGGGCUUCUUGAUUUAUAAUUAAUCUCUUCAUGUUGAAAAUUUAGGUUUUAAAAAAAUAUUUUUACUAUUAUCAGGUCUUCUAACUGUAUUAAAUAAUUGCUUUUAAUUCCAGAGGAUAAUUUUUAAAAGUUAAACUACUGUGUCCAUGGGUAUAAACUUUAAAAAAAUUUGUACUUAUUAGUAAGAACAAUUUUAACUUAAUAAAUUCCCAUUCGGUACAAGCAAUCUCUUCAGAUAGUAUCUUGAACAAAUGAUGUAUUUACAGUUUGCAGUCAGAAGAUAUACCUGUAGAAAAAGGGAAAAAAAAGAAUUAAAGAAAUUAAUUUAUGUAUCUAAUUAUCACUGUUGUCUGAAGACCAGAAUUCCUUUUGGUGACCUUUUGGAAUUAAAGCUCAGAGCAGAAGAAAAGUCAGACAAAUUCCAUGGAGGAUUGUAGAAUUUUUUUUAUUAAGCUGAGAAAAUACCUCUCUAGUCUUCCUUUACUGAAAGAUUUUGCUGUGAACAAUGCUAGAUUUUGUUAAAUGCUAUUUCUUCAUCAAUUGAUACAAUGAUAUUAUUUCCCUUCAUUAGACUGUUCAUGCCAUGAAUUGUAUUGAUUGGCUUUAGAAUGUUGAAACAGCCUUGCA